rnacentral:lncRNA from 1 species
GGAUAGAGCUUCUGUGCCUGCCCGCCUGCAUCUCUCACAAGCAUCCUAUCUUAAUAAAUCUAUUUCUUGCCAAUCACUUGAUCUCUCGCUGAAUUCCUUCUGCUCGGAGACAUGAAGAAUCUGAACCUCAGUGAGUCCAGACACGGGAUAAAAAGAAGGAAGAAUGAAGAAUGAAGUAGUUAAAGAAUGAGUAGCUCUACCUCCAACAGCCUGCUAAAGAAUCCUGCAAGCAGAUCACUCAGGCAAGAUAAUAUCUGAAGAGAGUCAGCCAGUUUGCAGGCAAUGAAGAAUGAUGCAGAACCCAACUUCUUGCCUCCCUGAUUCACUGACAUUCUCCCCCUCAACCCCCAUUUUUCCCUUUAAGAACUACCACGCCUGGCUGAGCAGAAUCUUUGGAGUUGGUCUCUGGACAAGAGUCCACCUUCUCCCCAGAUUGCCAGCUUUUCUGAUUAAAGCACCUUUCUAGUGACACUUCCUCUUGAAUUAUUGGCUUUUGAGCAGUGAGCUGCCAGUGAGUUCCGUAAAACACAUAGACACAAAGAAAGAAGGCAUGUGAUGACAGAGGCAGAAAUUGGAAUGAGGCAGCCAUAAGCCAAGAAAUGCCAAGGAUCGCCGGGAACCAGCAGAAACUAGGAAGAGGCAAGGAAAUAUUCUUCCCUAAAGCUCUUAGACAGAGCAUGGCCCUGCUGACACUUUGAUUUUGGACUUCUAGCCUCCAGAACCGGGAGCAAGUAAAUUUCUCUUGCUUAAGCCGCUCAGUUUGUGGUACUCUGUUGCAGCAGCCCUAGGAAACUAACAUAGUAAGAUAUUGGGGAAGGAGAAAUAUUCUGUAAUCUUAUGAUGAAAUCUCAAUGGGCCUGAGAUCCUGGGCUUGACCUUCAGAAGCAUUUCCUGGCCUUCUUCUCCCAUUACGUGAGACUGGAAGUGUGGCAGGCCUGGAGUUGUCUCAUUGCCCAUCCCCCAGGAGAGAUAAGGUGCUGGGAAAGCAGUUUCCCUUGAUGGAGGGCCUUUGUUAAGAACAGAAUGCUCUGGGCUGUCGAAGUUGUUACAUUCCCUCUGAGCUUCUUUUAAAAGGGUUACUUUUCUCCUCCCCAUCCCUGAAGCUCUAGGAUUAUUUCCCUACUUUCACAGUGAGAACCCAGUAGGGCUCCUGGAGGAAAACCCCAGGAAAGUGUGGGGCCUCCCUAAGACUGGAACCCCAGCAGAUUUUAACUCUCAAUCUGGUCCACACUCAACCUCCAGCAAUUCAUCCAACCAUUGGUACUCCUGCCAAUUGCUGGCUCCAGUGUCGGUUUCUGCUCCUGGUAAGUGGUGAUUCUCUGUGUUUCCUUCUCUCUCCAGAUUUCAGGGUGACGGUUUCCCCCAUGAUCUGAAUUGUCCAAUAAAUCUAAGAUAAGUUGUUGCUUUUCAGUUUAUUCAGCUUUUUUCAUGUGAGGAUGGAAGUAGCAACUUCCAAGUCUUUAAAUGUAAGAGCUGACCUAUGGUUUUUGUUAUCCAGGAUUGUACAUCAUACUGUCACAGGUUCCUUGGUCCCUGUCUCACUGCAACAAAGCAUUGGAAUGGUAGAUGUUUUACAAAUGUAUUAAAGUGAAAGUACAUUUUUAGAGAGGGAGAGAGAGAACUCAGGUUGAAAAGAGGGCCCGGCUCACUCUGCAAUAGUCUUUAUACCCCACAAUGCCACCCGAGUGGAGACACAAUUUGAUCUUUUGAUUGGUCUUAGGCAGGCCACUUUAUUUGCAUGGGGAACAGGUUAUAUGGUGCCCGGGUGAGGAAUGGGCGACAUUCCUUCUCUAGCAAGGAGUGAGAAGCCCAGGCUGGCCAAGGUGGGGCCAGGGACAUUACAAUGGGACAUGGCCAGAGCCCUUUGGGUUUAAUCUCCUUGAAGGGACCUUGAAGCCUAUAACAUACCUAGUUUUGUAUUGCAAUUCAAUCUCCCUGCUAAAUCUUUUUUCCUUUUUAAAGGCAUUUUUUCCUCUCUGCUGAAGACUAUAGAGAACAGACAUGGAGUAACAAAAAUGAAAUACACGGGAAAGUUAGAAAGGUCCAGGAUCAUAGAAAAUCUCUCAGAGCGAUGACUUUCUGGUCUGCGAUUCUGAUGUCCCUUCUAGAAAUUUCUUGAAACCUAAGUUACCUCUCUCUGCAUCUGACCUUGGUGGAUGGCGAUCACUGCUGCCAGAAUAUCUUGUUCUUCUUAAAAGUUAUUUAUUGUGUUUCCUUGUCUUGCUGUUACUUUGCAGGCAAUUUGAGGUCCAAAUUGCAAGACUGCAGGCAGCUGCCCUUGAUAGCUGCCUGCAGUCUUGCACAAAUCAGUUUGUGAUUAGUACUCUGAGAAAGUGGACCUUUUGUUGAAUCGGGUCCCCCCACUCCCCCACCCCCGCUGAUCUGGUGUAGAAUGAAUCAUAUGUAUUACUGAGUGAUCACUUCCUAGUGUAUGUGCCAGGCACGCAUUCAUGUGUCUAUCCUGUGGGCCUGGCUCUAUAAAGAACAGAUGACCCCUAGGGAAGAGCCUUUUUGAGCCUGACAACUAGAAAUUUGCCCAGACCGUCAAAGCAUGAUCAUUAUACAAAACUUGGGCACUACACCUAAAUAUAAAGAGGAAAAUUAAAAUGAUCCAUAAUCCCGUAGUCAUUAUUUUGGUAUAUAUCUGUUAGGGAAUCAUUGACUGAAACUGCCCACCUUGGCCAGGCAGGUAAUAGCCACGUGCAUGAGUUGUCUCACAGCAGGAAGCCCUGAUAAGGACCUUGGUGCUGCCCUGAAGGCUAACCAGGAGAAUUUGGGAGGGGCCAAUAGGAAGGGGGAGAUGACCAACAUCCCAGCAUCCUUGGCGCUGAAAUCCAUCUUGGCUGAGAGGUGCGUGCACCGCCAGGAAGGACCCUGGGCCAGACCAAAUAUGGGCUGAGCAAGACAACUGGCCAGAGAAAACUUGGAAACUAACCCCAUCCCCAUAAAACCUGAGACAGUUCUCCUGGGUUCCCUUAUCCUGCUGCUCUCCACCUGGGAACACCUUCCCAAUAAAGUCUUUUUGCUUUGCCCACACGUAUGUCAACUCAGAUAAUUCAUUUCCAAGUGUUAGAUAAGAGCCCAUUCUUGGGCCCUGGAAGGGGUCCCCCUUCUUUCCACAAUUCCUCUGGCCCUUUAACUAUUCAUUGCUUGUAAUCAGGGGGAAAGAAGAUGAGUUCAGGAAUCAACAAAAAUCAAGAAUAACUUUGCUGUGAUUUUUUAAUAUGUGUACAAAAAGGGAUAACAGUGGUUUAGGAAUGAGGCUGGGCGGGAACAUAGGUAGCUUUUUCAAUGUGUUUAGGUUCAGAUCCAAGUUCUGUCAUUUACUUUGGGUAAGUUUCUUUGUGUUUCAGUUUCCUCAUCUGCAAAAUGAAACUAAUACCAUCUACUUUGUAGGGUGGUUGGGAGUAAUUACAUGAUGAAUGCACAUAAAACACUUAACGCAGUGCUGGGAGCAAAGUGUUCAGUAAGUGGUGGAGUUGGUGGAAAAGAAGAGUGAGGGGGAGGAGACCAAAGUGGAGACCACACGAUACGUUGUGCUCACCAUUGUGCUUCCAGUGAAAGAGUUCCUGCUGUUUUACAUGUGAUGUAUAACAGCUAAGACUCAUGUUCCAGCUUGUCGUCACAGAAGAAUGCUGGCUAAUAAAUAAAGAAGGAAGGAUAGAAUUAGAUAAUCACCAUUCUGCCAAGACCUCUGAAGGGACGGAUCCCAUCAGUGAUGCUAAAGCCAUUGGGUGAUGGGUUGUGGGGUCUGGGAUAUUUGCAUAGAGUCAAAGUAUCACUUGACAGUUAUAUGUUAAUUACAGUGGAGAGAUUUGUCAGACGAGACCUCAAUUAAAGGAUCAAAAUUAGACUCACAAAUAAUGGGACAAACUAACAUUAUGUGCUUCCUGAUGUGAAAUACUAGGAAGGACACAGCAUCACCUAAGUAGUAUUCUUGCCAAAAACAGUUCAUCGGAAUUACAUCAUGAGGAAGCAAUUAGGCAAAUAGAAAUUGGGGAACAGUCCAUAAGACUUAAAAAAUGUCAAUGUCAUGAGAGACAAAAAAGGGUUGUGGGGGGAUGAAAAAAUAUAUUAAAAUUAUAUAAAAAUAUUAAAAUUAGAUGAAAAAAUAUAUUAAACGGUCAAAUGCACUAUGUGAAUCUUGACUGGCUGUAGGAUACUACUUUUUAAAAAUAGAUAAGAAAACAGUUUGGAAAUAUUUGGGGAAAUUUGAAUAAAGAUGAUUAGAUAAUA